GUUUCACUCUAUACUGUUAGUGUCACACCGGUGCACACUCAUGCGACAUGGCUAUUUUGUCUUGUUUUGCCGGUGGCCUGGCGCUUUCACUUGGAGUCGUUGUUCGGUUGAGCACUUUGUUUGCCAGCCCUAUUUUCUGUUGUGUCUUUUCUGGUUCAAUUAUUUUGUGAUUUCACAGAGUGGUGGAAAAAAAUUCAGACUAUUUUCUAAUAUCCUUGCCCACUGUCCAAAAUGCAACCAGCACUUCUGAAUUUAUUUUUGUUUUCAUUCAGACUGAAUUUUGUUCAUUUUCAGACUGAUUUUGUUCAUUCACACGGAACCGGAGUAUGUUGUAUUAGAAGGUGCAACCGUUCGAUCCAUUUCGAUGCAACCGAUCAGAAGUCUAGUGUAAUAAGGCCCUUACUGUAGCUUCAUUGGCUGUAUUAUUAUCGAAGUAAGUAAUCGAUUAUGGGGAUUUUUUUCAGAACAUAGCAGAGAGAGAGAGAGAGAGAGAGAGGUAUGAUGCUGGUGUUGCUUGGUAGUAGUACCAUAAUUCUUGGUGUUGAUACUGAGAAUGCAAGGGGAAAAGAAUGUCAAGAACUUGCUUGAUGUUGUAGUAUCUUCAGACAGGGAAUACUAGUGUCUAGUGCUCAGUGCUGCUCAUGCACAUUUGUCAAGUGGACUUGUUUUCAAUCUUCAUGGGUCCCGCUUUCGAGUCAGCUCAUGUUAUUGGAAACCUUACUCAUGCAGCAUCUCACACAUACAUACCUAUACACAUAUGUCGUUCAUUCAUUCAUUCAAGUAUAUAUAACCUGUCUCGGCAACUCACAUAUGUCGUUCAUUCAUUCAAGUACAUAUUUGCAGGAACAGUUACAAUAAGCUUUGUAUUUUUUGGUCAUGAGACAGGCAACUCAAGGACCUGAGGAGGAAAUGAGUUGGGGUAAAACAUCGGCACAAAACUCGCUCCAUUGUUUUGCAUUCCAAAGAGACUGGGGUCAAACAAUGCUCCAGGAUAUUGGGAUUGUCCAGGCUGCAAAUAUAAAUACAUUACCAACCGCCAAAUUCUUUGUCCCAUCAAGAAAGAAGCAAGCAAAAGCAUGCUGAUUUUCGGAUGGGGUUCAGAAGAAGCAAAUCACACAGAAGGAUCUUGAGAGGAAGAUUCAGAAAACUCACCCUGGUGUAUGACAGGAACAAUAACUAGCAUGAACCUGGAGGAGUAAGAAGCAGCGACAUCUGGGUUUGCAAUGGCCAAAGAACUCAACAAUUCAUAGUUGGGUCACUUAUUUCUCCCCAGCUCGGUGACUUGGUCAACUGCGCACUUCAGAAGAAUGAGUACUUCUGAAUGUUAAAGCCAAUGUGGGCUAGCAAACUGUAGAGAUAAUUGAUUUGUUUCCAUGUCUACCUUACAGUAUUCAGACUUGGGAGAGAAGGUGCCUCAUGGUAGAAGCUUGACAUAGGUGUGGCCUUGAAUGCCAAGAUUUUUAUGAGUAGCCUCAGCCUUCUGUUCCCUACAGAUUCAGGAUUCAAAAGAUCAAUGGGAGUUUGUUUCACACAGUACAAGAGCAAUGUACUGAUGCAUUUUAACUGUCGUUGUGUGUUUUAACAGAAGAAUACUUUCUGAUGUUUUAGUGACCAAGUGUUACUGAUCUUGAGGUGUGUUAUUGAUCUCUGUUUCUAUAUAGAUGGUGCUUUUUUGUACUUUCUGAAGAACAAUUCCAUGCAAGACACCAUCAAAAAGCCUGCUACUGCAGAUGCUUCCUCGCGGAAUCACAGCUUGAUGGAGCUUGCUGCACCUCUGGAACAAGCAGCCGCUUACAAAGAGAAGCUUGAAGGCUCAAACAGAUGUACAUAACGAAAUUCAGAGUUCCAACAGUGCAUAUGUGCAAGAGCGUAGUUCACUUGGAAUUUGCUCGUGGUGGAGACGUUCCACCCACAAAAAAAAGGUGAAGACGUCCUGAAACUUCAUGAGGCAUGGGCGAUACAGAUAGGGCGGAGUCAGAACCAUGUGCAAGAUAGAGACACUAUCAAUCAUCGGUGAAUCCGGUCCAGGAACUCAAAUGUUGGCGUCCAUGGCGCAAGGAGGUGCUUUUCGGAGCAAGCAACCUAGCAAGUGCAUCAGUGAUCAUUGUCAAUUUGGCUAGAAGUAUGUACAUUUCCCUACUACAAUUCCUUCAAACAUGCUGACACAUAUAUGCUUACGGACAUGUGAUUUUUUCUCCGUUGCAACGCACGGGCUCUUUUGCUAGUCAAACUAGAGAACGAACAGGGGUGAUCGAGAGGGCUACAAACAGGGUGACGUCGCCGAUGAAGAGAGUUGUAGAUCCGAAAAUCAAACCUAGAACCACACGAACGAAGACGUACACAAACUGGAUCCAAAUAGAUCCACCCAAGACCAGCACCGACCGGAUCCCAUGAGAUCCGACGGAGACACAGCUCCACACAUCCUCCGACAACGCUAUUUGCACCAUCGGGGCGGGAAUAGGACGUGGGAGACAUUAUUGCCACCGAGGGACAUCGCCACGGCCACAUAGCC